rnacentral:rRNA from 1 species
CCUACGGGAGGCAGCAGUAGGGAAUCUUCCGCAAUGGGCGAAAGCCUGACGGAGCAACGCCGCGUGAGUGAUGAAGGUCUUCGGAUCGUAAAACUCUGUUAUUAGGGAAGAACAAAUGUGUAAGUAACUAUGCACGUCUUGACGGUACCUAAUCAGAAAGCCACGGCUAACUACGUGCCAGCAGCCGCGGUAAUACGUAGGUGGCAAGCGUUAUCCGGAAUUAUUGGGCGUAAAGCGCGCGUAGGCGGUUUUUUAAGUCUGAUGUGAAAGCCCACGGCUCAACCGUGGAGGGUCAUUGGAAACUGGAAAACUUGAGUGCAGAAGAGGAAAGUGGAAUUCCAUGUGUAGCGGUGAAAUGCGCAGAGAUAUGGAGGAACACCAGUGGCGAAGGCGACUUUCUGGUCUGUAACUGACGCUGAUGUGCGAAAGCGUGGGGAUCAAACAGGAUUAGAUACCCUGGUAGUCCACGCCGUAAACGAUGAGUGCUAAGUGUUAGGGGGUUUCCGCCCCUUAGUGCUGCNGCACGCAUAGCACUCCGCCGUCGGGAGGUACGACCGCGAGGUUAGAACGUACGAAAGUAGAAGUUAGACGGCGUGAGACGUAGCCGACGGACGACGACGAGGGGAGGAGGG